rnacentral:snRNA from 1 species
UUACUUACCUGGAUGGGGUCAAUGGGCGAUCAAAAAGGCUCAUGGCCUAGGUCAGUGACCUCCAUUGCACUGAGGAGGGGCCCUGGUCUAAGAUCUACCCAAGUGGUGGAGUCUACAUCAUAAUUUGUGAUAGGUGGUCUUGCGUUCGCGCAGACCACGC